rnacentral:rRNA from 1 species
UCGAACGAUGAUGCCCAGCUUGCUGGGUGGAUUAGUGGCGAACGGGUGAGUAACACGUGAGUAACCUGCCCCUGACUCUGGGAUAAGCGUUGGAAACGACGUCUAAUACUGGAUAUGAUCACCGGCCGCAUGGUCUGGUGGUGGAAAGAUUUUUUGGUUGGGGAUGGACUCGCGGCCUAUCAGCUUGUUGGUGAGGUAAUGGCUCACCAAGGCGACGACGGGUAGCCGGCCUGAGAGGGUGACCGGCCACACUGGGACUGAGACACGGCCCAGACUCCUACGGGAGGCAGCAGUGGGGAAUAUUGCACAAUGGGCGAAAGCCUGAUGCAGCAACGCCGCGUGAGGGAUGACGGCCUUCGGGUUGUAAACCUCUUUUAGUAGGGAAGAAGCGAAAGUGACGGUACCUGCAGAAAAAGCACCGGCUAACUACGUGCCAGCAGCCGCGGUAAUACGUAGGGUGCAAGCGUUGUCCGGAAUUAUUGGGCGUAAAGAGCUCGUAGGCGGUUUGUCGCGUCUGCUGUGAAAUCCCGAGGCUCAACCUCGGGCUUGCAGUGGGUACGGGCAGACUAGAGUGCGGUAGGGGAGAUUGGAAUUCCUGGUGUAGCGGUGGAAUGCGCAGAUAUCAGGAGGAACACCGAUGGCGAAGGCAGAUCUCUGGGCCGUAACUGACGCUGAGGAGCGAAAGCAUGGGGAGCGAACAGGAUUAGAUACCCUGGUAGUCCAUGCCGUAAACGUUGGGCGCUAGAUGUAGGGACCUUUCCACGGUUUCUGUGUCGUAGCUAACGCAUUAAGCGCCCCGCCUGGGGAGUACGGCCGCAAGGCUAAAACUCAAAGGAAUUGACGGGGGCCCGCACAAGCGGCGGAGCAUGCGGAUUAAUUCGAUGCAACGCGAAGAACCUUACCAAGGCUUGACAUACACCGGAAACGGCCAGAGAUGGUCGCCCCCUUGUGGUCGGUGUACAGGUGGUGCAUGGUUGUCGUCAGCUCGUGUCGUGAGAUGUUGGGUUAAGUCCCGCAACGAGCGCAACCCUCGUUCUAUGUUGCCAGCGGGUUAUGCCGGGGACUCAUAGGAGACUGCCGGGGUCAACUCGGAGGAAGGUGGGGAUGACGUCAAAUCAUCAUGCCCCUUAUGUCUUGGGCUUCACGCAUGCUACAAUGGCCGGUACAAAGGGCUGCGAUACCGUAAGGUGGAGCGAAUCCCAAAAAGCCGGUCUCAGUUCGGAUUGAGGUCUGCAACUCGACCUCAUGAAGUCGGAGUCGCUAGUAAUCGCAGAUCAGCAACGCUGCGGUGAAUACGUUCCCGGGCCUUGUACACACCGCCCGUCAAGUCAUGAAAGUCGGUAACACCCGAAGCCGG